CCUACGGGUGGCAGCAGUGGGGAAUAUUGGACAAUGGGGGGAACCCUGAUCCAGCCAUGCCGCGUGUGUGAAGAAGGCCCUCGGGUUGUAAAGCACUUUCAGUGAGGAAGAACGCCUGGUGGUUAAUACCCAUCAGGAAAGACAUCACUCACAGAAGAAGCACCGGCUAACUCCGUGCCAGCAGCCGCGGUAAUACGGAGGGUGCGAGCGUUAAUCGGAAUUACUGGGCGUAAAGCGCGCGUAGGUGGCUUGAUAAGCCGGUUGUGAAAGCCCGGGCUCAACCUGGGAACGGCAUCCGGAACUGUCAAGCUAGAGUGCAGGAGAGGAAGGUAGAAUUCCCGGUGUAGCGGUGAAAUGCGUAGAGAUCGGGAGGAAUACCAGUGGCGAAGGCGGCCUUCUGGACUGACACUGACACUGAGGUGCGAAAGCGUGGGUAGCAAACAGGAUUAGAUACCCUAGUAGUC
rnacentral:rRNA from 1 species